CGGCAGGCUUAACACAUGCAAGUCGAGGGCAGCACGGGUAGCAAUACCUGGUGGCGACCGGCGCAAGGGUGCGUAACGCGUGAGCUACAUGCCCUAUACAGGGGGAUAAUCCAGGGAAACUUGGUCUAAUAUCCCAUAGUAUUUAGAGGAGGCAUCUUCUAUAAAUUAAAGCUUCGGUGGUAUAGGAUUGGCUCGCGUGACAUUAGCUAGAUGGUGAGGUAACGGCUCACCAUGGCAAUGAUGUCUAGGGGUUCUGAGAGGAAGGCCCCCCACACUGGGACUGAGACACGGCCCAGACUCCUACGGGAGGCAGCAGUGAGGAAUAUUGGACAAUGGAUGGAAAUCUGAUCCAGCCAUGCCGCGUGCAGGAAGACAGCCCUAUGGGUUGUAAACUGCUUUUAUAUGGGAGCAAUAAGGUCUACGUGUAGACUGAUGAGAGUACCAUAUGAAUAAGCAUCGGCUAACUCCGUG
rnacentral:rRNA from 1 species